rnacentral:rRNA from 1 species
UGGGGAAUAUUGGACAAUGGGCGAAAGCCUGAUCCAGCCAUGCCGCGUGUGUGAAGAAGGUCUUCGGAUUGUAAAGCACUUUAAGUUGGGAGGAAGGGCAUUAACCUAAUACGUUAGUGUUUUGACGUUACCGACAGAAUAAGCACCGGCUAACUCUGUGCCAGCAGCCGCGGUAAUACAGAGGGUGCAAGCGUUAAUCGGAAUUACUGGGCGUAAAGCGCGCGUAGGUUGUUUGUUAAGUUGGAUGUGAAAUCCCCGGGCUCAACCUGGGAACUGCAUUCAAAAGUGACUGACUAGAGUAUGGUAGAGGGUGGUGGAAUUUCCUGUGUAGCGGUGAAAUGCGUAGAUAUAGGAAGGAACACCAGUGGCGAAGGCGACCACCUGGACUAAUACUGACACUGAGGUGCGAAAGCGUGGGGAGCAAACA